CUCUAAAGACUACAGCAGUUCAAAAGCCAGUUUUAUCAGAGAAAAAAACAAAACUUAAAACAAGCAUCUCUUCUCAGGUCCCAGAUGUGCACCCAUAUCUAUGUCUUUGUUGCCUGUGAAUACCACAAAGCUGCAGGAUAUGUAGCCACUAAUAUGGAAAAGACUCAUCAGCUCAUGGCAGACAGAAGUCAAGUUUUUUAGUCUUUAAAAUACGUGGUGAAAUUGUCUCUGAAGCCAUGGAAUUCAGAAUGUUGAGACCCUGUCUUUGCUACAACCUAUCCCUAAAUCACCACUCUCCCCUGAGGUGUUCAGCCAUGCACCAGCUUCUUCCAGUGCAAAUGUCAACUGUUACACUCAGUGAGUGAGGGA
rnacentral:lncRNA from 1 species